rnacentral:lncRNA from 1 species
UUCUUCAAACCUCUUACUGACUUGUAGCCCCUGCAACGAAUUGCAAAUAUUAAAAGGACUACCGGUAUCCAAUACCCAGGUUGAAUUAUCACAAAUAGAAAAAUUGCAAGGUGUUAUCAUAUAAGUACCUUGAUUGGCAACUGAUUGCCCAUUUUUCUUAGGCCGGUUCGGAUCGAGGGAUGCAAUGUAAAGAGGACAGUUCCUC